CACUCUGGGCUGCCUGAAAUAAUUGCUUCUGGGGUAGCUGGUAGUCUUCAAAAACACACUGCCUACACGUCUACCCUCUCGUUUUCUGAUGAGCGGAAAUGGGGAUUAAUGAUUUGCUGUGCUUCCUUCUUGCUGCAGGGUCAAUAUUUAAUCAGACUUCCUCAGGACUACCAGCUUGGCAGCCCAGAAGAUUCAUCUAAUGACUCAGUCUGCCAGCCACUUUGAUGUACGUCAACCAAAGCAUCUCAACCAGAAACAUAAUUGAACCAAGCCCCUGCACAAGUGACAGGCUUAACAGAAAGACCGCGGCUAAGGGCGAGACAGGCAAAGAUGCAGAUGCAUCUCAAAUCACCCAACUCUCUGUGAAAGAGAGAUUUUGAAAGACCGAGGCUAAGAACAGGAGAGACAAAGGUAGGGAGAGAUGUUCCACUCAGUCAUGCUGACAGUCUCUCUCCUAACUGCAUCUGAAUUGAGAGAAGCAAUGUGAUGGUCCCUCAUUCACAAUUUGCAUUGGGUUUUCAAUCACUUCAUCCACGACGAUAGAGCUGUCAGAUUCUAUAGGGGCGCCAGUUACGAUGGAGACAAGAGUAACAAAUUGCUUGUGCUGCAUUGUUUUACAUACAUCUCAACCAUAGUGAACCAGGCCCCUACUCCAGCCAAGGAUACGCCUAGCAAGAUUGAAUCAUGGAAUAAGAUGGACAAAGGCAGGGAAAAAAGCUCUGUCAAAACACGCUGCAUUUAUCUUCCCUCUACAAUUAACUUUACCUCAGCCAUGUGCGUGAGUCUUUUUGUUCUUUAAGGAUUAUUAAUCCCUUUACAUCUUCUGUUAAGUAUUGUUAAAUAUUAUCUUAUGCAUUGUUUUUAUUUUUGUUUUCAUUUUUUAAAUAGCCCCAUCCCAAACCUAUUAUUGGUUUGGCAAACAGCCUUUAGAGAUUGUUCGAUGAAAAAAAAGCUAAAUUAGUCCACCAUAUAAACUAAUAUAUGCACUCAAUGGAAUGCAACCAUGUAGCCAGAAAGGAAUACAAGUUUUUCAACAUCAUGACAGCUGACAGCUCACUUGCAGUGCUUGUGAACUUGAAAGGCAGAAAACCCAGGGCCCUAUUUUCACAGUCAAGUCACAACCGUCAUACUCUAGCGGUAACUCACAGUGAUGACACAUUAAGGCGUGUCCAACUCCAUUUCACUCAUUUUAUGACAAGGAACUACCUGUUUGAAAACUGGUUGGUUUAUCGUAACUAGGCAGAAACUAGGAACGUAUUAGGAUUCUGACUAGUUAGUGAGCAAACUAUCAAACUAUUUAAUGGGAUUUUAAGGUGUAUUGAUUAUUAUUUUGUCUG